UACGUAGGGUGCGAGCGUUGUCCGGAAUUAUUGGGCGUAAAGAGCUUGUAGGCGGUUUGUCGCGUCUGCUGUGAAAUCUCAAGGCUCAACCUUGAGCUUGCAGUGGGUACGGGCAGACUAGAGUGUGGUAGGGGAGACUGGAAUUCCUGGUGUAGCGGUGAAAUGCGCAGAUAUCAGGAGGAACACCGAUGGCGAAGGCGGAUCUCUGGGCCUUACCUGACGCUGAGGCGCGAAAGCUAGGGGAGCGAACAGG
rnacentral:rRNA from 1 species